rnacentral:rRNA from 1 species
CUACGUGCCAGCAGCCGCGGUAAUACGUAUGUCACAAGCGUUAUCCGGAUUUAUUGGGCGUAAAGCGCGUCUAGGUGGUUAUGUAAGUCUGAUGUGAAAAUGCAGGGCUCAACUCUGUAUUGCGUUGGAAACUGCAUGACUAGAGUACUGGAGAGGUAAGCGGAACUACAAGUGUAGAGGUGAAAUUCGUAGAUAUUUGUAGGAAUGCCGAUGGGGAAGCCAGCUUACUGGACAGAUACUGACGCUAAAGCGCGAAAGCGUGGGUAGCAAACAGGAUUAGAUACCCUGGUAGUCCACGCCGUAAACGAUGAGUGCUAGGUGUUAGACCCUUUCCGGGGUUUAGUGCCGUAGCUAACGCAUUAAGCACUCCGCCUGGGGAGUACGACCGCAAGGUUGAAACUCAAAGGAAUUGACGGGGGCCCGCACAAGCGGUGGAGCAUGUGGUUUAAUUCGAAGCAACGCGAAGAACCUUACCAGGUCUUGACAUCCC